GCCAGUUACAGCUCUUUCAGAAUUUGUCUAGCAGGCUUUCCGGUUUUUGUUGGAAAGCCCCC
ensembl:snRNA U7 U7 small nuclear RNA